rnacentral:rRNA from 1 species
GACGAACGCUGGCGGCGUGCUUUACACAUGCGAGUCGAACGGUGAAGGUGGAGCUUGCUCCGCCGGAUCAGUGGCGAACGGGUGAGUAACACGUGGGCAACCUGCCCCUAACUUUGGGAUAGCUACUCGAAAGAGUAGCUAAUACCGGAUAUGAAGUCUGUAGGCAUCUAUGGAUUUGGAAAGUUUUUCGGUUAGGGAUGGGCCCGCGGCCUAUCAGCUUGUUGGUGAGGUAGUGGCUCACCAAGGCGACGACGGGUAGCCGGCCUGAGAGGGCGACCGGCCACACUGGGACUGAGACACGGCCCAGACUCCUGCGGGAGGCAGCAGUGGGGAAUAUUGCGCAAUGGGCGAAAGCCUGACGCAGCAACGCCGCGUGCGGGAUGAAGGCCUUCGGGUUGUAAACCGCUUUCAGCAGGGAGGAAGCGAAAGUGACGGUACCUGCAGAAGAAGCACCGGCUAACUACGUGCCAGCAGCCGCCGUAA